rnacentral:rRNA from 1 species
AUUGAACGCUGGCGGCCGGCCUAACACCUGCAAGUCGAACGAGUGACUGACGGUUGAGUAAUGUCUGGGACACUGCCUGAUGGAGGGGGAUCACUACUUUACACGGUAGCUAAUACCUCCUACCAUCAGAUGUGCCCAGAUGGGAUUCGCUUGUUGGUGGGGUAACGGCUCCCCAAGGCGACGAUCCCUAGCUGGUCUGAGAGGAUGACCAGCAACACGGGAACGGAGACACGGUCCAGACUCCUACGGGAGGCAGCAGUGGGGAAUAUUGCACAAUGGGCGCAAGCCUGAUGCAGCCAUGCCGCGUGUAUGAAGAAGGCCUUCGGGUUGUAAAGUACUUUCAGCGGGGAGGCGUUACCCGCAGAAGAAGCACCGGCUAAAGACGUGCCAGCAGCCGCGGUAAUAC